rnacentral:rRNA from 1 species
UACGAAGGGUGCUAGCGUUGUUCGGAAUCACUGGGCGUAAAGCGCGCGUAGGCGGCUUUUCAAGUCAGGGGUGAAAUCCUUGGGCUCAACCCAAGAAUUGCCUUUGAAACUGUAAAGCUAGAGUGUCGGAGGGGAUAGCGGAAUUGCUAAUGUAGAGGUGAAAUUCGUAGAUAUUAGCAGGAACACCGGUGGCGAAGGCGGCUAUCUGGACGACAACUGACGCUGAGGCGCGAAAGCGUGGGGAUCAAACAGG